AUACAGAGGGUGCAAGCGUUAAUCGGAAUUACUGGGCGUAAAGCGCGCGUAGGCGGCAUGGUAAGUCGGAUGUGAAAGCCCCGGGCUCAACCUGGGAAUUGCAUUCGAUACUGCCAAGCUAGAGUCUGGUAGAGGGUAGCGGAAUUCCCGGUGUAGCGGUGAGAUGCGUAGAUAUCGGGAGGAACACCAGUGGCGAAGGCGGCUACCUGGACCAAGACUGACGCUGAGGUGCGAAAGCGUGGGGAGCAAACAGGAUUAGAAACCCUAGUAGUCC
rnacentral:rRNA from 1 species